rnacentral:lncRNA from 1 species
GCCACCGCCGGUAAGCCCUCCUCUUUUGCCCUUGAUUCCAUGCCAAAUAGAAAGCUUCCCUUCCUUUGUUUUGGCCUCAUGAACUGAGACCAUCUCGGUUGAAUCUUGACCCCGGCCACCGCAACGGCCGCCAGCCGCCACUGCGGCCGGCUGGCCGUCGACCGAGGGGUGGCCUCUGGCCACCCCGCCGCCCCCUUCCUCUUCCGCUCUCCCUCUCGGUCUUCCCAUGCCGUGGGGGGAUUGGGGGAGGAAGAUGGCCCUACGGGCCGAACAGGGCCCAACAUGGCCCGGUUCACUGUGGGCCCGGUUCACUGUGGGCCCAACAUAGGCCCGGUUAAAAAAAAAAAAUCCGAAACUGAAACCCAGUUCAGAUCUGAGCCCGGAACCCGAAUCCGAACCCAAACCCGAAACCCGAAACCCGAACCCAUUUGGCCACUAAAUGAAAUUUUGCAGAUAAGCCCUUGACAGUAUAUUAUUUCACAAAAAGGAUCUUCUGUAUUUUGUAUUUGAUCCCUAUAGAAAAGACUUAUUACGUAAAAGUCCCCAACAAUAUUUAUUUAGUCCCCUCACUCAAGUUUUAUUAUAGAACAGUACCCUAUAAUUAAGUAUUAGUCCCUGCAAUAAAUUUUAUUGUAUACAGGUACAA